GACAGAGGGUGCAAACGUUGUUCGGAAUUACUGGGCGUAAAGCGCGUGUAGGCGGCCCUGCAAGUCGGAUGUGAAAUCCCACGGCUCAACCGUGGAAGUGCAUUCGAAACUGCAGGGCUAGAGUCCUGGAGAGGAAGGUGGAAUGCUUGGUGUAGAGGUGAAAUUCGUAGAUAUCAAGCGGAACACCGGUGGCGAAGGCGGCCUUCUGGACAGUCGACUGACGCUGAGACGCGAAAGCGUGGGAGCGAACGAG
rnacentral:rRNA from 1 species